rnacentral:lncRNA from 1 species
UUAAAAUAACAACCGCUGAUUCAUUAGUAAGAGUUACUCCAAAGUUCAGUAACUUUACACCAGCUAAUAGGGCUAACAUCAGUAGACCUAAUCCGCCCCAAAAAAAACUUAAACUUCAUCACUAAACCUCCUAAACUUCAAAUUUUAAUUAUUAAACUACCUAAACUAUAAUUCCACAUAUUGAAUUAAAACUGUGAAAUGUGAUAAAUUAAUCGAUAUCAAUCAUCAGUUCUUUUCCACGUAUGUUUCAUAUAUUUAC